AACGAACGCUGGCGGCAUGCCUUACACAUGCAAGUCGAACGGUAACGCGGGGCAACCUGGCGACGAGUGGCGAACGGGUGAGUAGUGUAUCGGAACGUGCCCAGUUGUGGGGGAUAACUGCUCGAAAGAGCAGCUAAUACCGCAUACGACCUGAGGGUGAAAGCGGGGGAUCGCAAGACCUCGCGCAAUUGGAGCGGCCGAUAUCAGAUUAGGUAGUUGGUGGGGUAAAGGUUCACCAAGCCAACGAUCUGUAGCUGGUUUGAGAGGACGACCAGCCACACUGGAACUGAGACACGGCCCAGACUCCUACGGGAGGCAGCAGUGGGGAAUUUUGGACAAUGGACGCAAGUCUGAUCCAGCCAUGCCGCGUGCGGGAAGAAGGCCUUCGGGUUGUAAACCGCUUUUGUCAGGGAAGAAACGCUCUGGGUUAAUACCUCGGGGUAAUGACGGUACCUGAAGAAUAAGCACCGGCUAACUACGUGCCAGCCGCCGCAGUAAAAC
rnacentral:rRNA from 1 species